AUAUUUCCACAAUGUCUGUGAACUGGACCUGGUGUUCAACUUCUACAAGGUUUACACGGUGGUAGACGAGAUGUUCCUGGCAGGUGAAAUCCGAGAGACCAGCCAGACGAAGGUGCUGAAGCAGCUGCUGAUGCUGCAGUCCCUGGAGUGAGGUGGCCUCUGCCCAGCCCGGCCUGCUGGGCCAACCUGCCUGCUCACCCCCUGCCAGGCCCAAGGCCCACCCCAGCAGCCCCUUCCCUUCCUCAGCUGCCCCAGAGGAAGGACCCAGCAGGGUUAGGCCGCAUGGGAGGAGGCUGCAACCCACUGCCUCUGGGCCCUACUUUGAUGGCAGAAGGCCACCUUGAUGUCCUGAGUAACUGUGCCAUCGUUGUGUGAUGCUGUGAGUGUGUGUGUGUGUGCAGCCCCCAAUAAAUCUGUGGUCCUGCCUGGUCCGCCUGCCUCUGA